rnacentral:lncRNA from 10 species
CUUAAGUUGAAAGCUUAGCUCAUUUAUUUUUAAUCUUUCUUGUUUUCUAAUAAAUGCACUUCUGGAUCUAAAUUCCCCUCUGAGUACCACUGUGGCUUUAUCCCAUAACUUUUUAUGUGCAGAACUUUUACAGUCAUUCGGUUUUAAGUACUGUACUCCAUUAUGAUUUCCUCUUUAAAACGUGAAUUAUUUAGAAGGUUUUUUUUUAACCUCCAGAUGUUAUGCGGGGAUAUCCUGUCUAUCUUUAUGUUGUCGGUUACUAUUUUUACUCCCCGGUCCCCAUUGGAAAAAGGACUUGAUGACUUCAGCCUUUGAAAAUUGUGGAUUUUUCUUUGUUGCUUAGUACAUAGUUAAUUUUUUAUAAAUUUCCCCAUGUACUUAAAACUAAUGAGUAUACUCACUUGGAUGUAGAGUUAAUUAAAUUCUUCAAAUCCUUUAUUUUCUUAUUAAUUAUUAUUCUACUUGCUAUGGUAGCUUUUGAGAACUCAUUUCUUGUGGCCGCGGUAACAAAUUAUCACAGACUCGGUGGUUUAAAACAGCAGAAAUUUGUUCUGUCCAAGUUCUGGAGGCCAGAAAUCCAAAAUCAAGGUGUCAUCAGGGUGGUGGUCCUUCUAGGGGCUCUAAGGGAGUCUGUCCCUGGCCACCUUAGCUUCUGGUGGCUGCCCACCUUCCUGGACACUCCGUGACUUGUGCCAACUUAUUACAAUGUCUACCUUCCCCUUCCCAUGGCCUCCCCCUCUGUGUCAAUUCUCUGCCUCUCUCUUAAAAAGAUACUUGCAAUGACAUUUAGGAACCACCUGGAUAAUCUAGGAUGAUCUCAUCUCAGUGUUCUUAAAUUAAUUACAUCUGCAAAGACCCUUUUUACAAAUAAGGUAAUAUUUACAGAUUCCAAGGAUUAGGAUGGGGACAUGUCUUUGGAGCCACCAUUCAGCCCGCUACAGGAAAGAUGUGUCAAAAUCUCUCCAGGAUUGUCAAUUUCUCCUUGUAAUUCAAAGGAAUGGCUGUAUUUCAAAGGUUUCCUUUCCUCAUAUCUUCCCUAAAUCUGACCAGCGGAAGCCACGGCCUGGGGUGUUUUCUGGUUCAGUCACAAUUUCCAGGGUAGGACUGUAUUGUAAGAAGAAUGCGGUCACUCUCCCCAAGCGCACAUUAUCACACUUCUUUUAAGCAGGAGAUCUUAGGACUGUGUGAGUGGCCAGUCACAUUUCCAUUUUGCCAGAACUACCAUUAUUCCCACAGCCUCUGGAACAAAACCUCUUGCUCGAGAAGGUGCUUCAGAUGAACUCACUAUUUGAAAAUGCAUCUUGUUACGCUGUUUUUUUGUUUUUUGUUUUGUUAUAAAUAAUUAAGUUUUGAGGGAUUCUGCAGAUGCGCCAAAAAACACGUGUCCGGGGUAAAAGCUGUGGAAGGUGCUCGGUUCUAAGGAGAGGGAAGGAAAGCCAAGUGGACCCUGUCAUCUGAAAUUGUUUUGUCAUCCACUGACUUUUACAAAUAAAACAGCCGGGCGCAGUGGCUCACGCCUGUAAUCUCAGCACUUUGGGAGGCCAAGGCGGGCGGAUCACGAGGUCAGGAGAUCGAGACCAUCCUGGCUAACACGGUGAAACCCCAUCUCUACUUAAAAAAAUACAAAAAAUUAGCCGGGCGUGGUGGCGGGCGCCUGUAGUACCAGCUACUCGGGAGGCUGAGGCAGGAGAAUGGCGUGAACCUGGGAGGCGCAGCUUGCAGUGAACCGAGAUUGCGCCACUGCACUCCAGCCUGGGCGACAGAGCGAGACUCCAUCUCAAAAAAAUAAAUAAAUAAAAAUAAAAAAAUAAAACAAGCUGUGGCAGAGUAGGUUCUGAAAGGGUCAGAGGGGACAGUGUGCUCUGAGAAAGUGGGCCCACGAAGGUAAACAGCGCUGCCAGCCUGCGGUGUUGCUUUGCCACCCAGGGCAAGCAUUCUUGGCACAUUUCAGCUGCAGCUGCUGAGCUAGUAAAAUCUGAGAAAAGAAGGAACACAGUGAAUAAAGAAGACAGAAGUGAAAGAAGAGAGCGCAGCCAAGAGAGGCUCCAGAUAAGGCCGCGAUGCUAGGGAGAAAAGGAAUUUAUAACACAGAGAAUACACGGCGCUGGGGCUUUCUCGCAUUUCUGCUAUCGCCGUUAAAAUUAUCCGGGUUCAAAUAGAGAAAUGCUCUGUCCUAGUCAUUAUUCAUGUUUCUUUCCAAGGCACAAAUUCCAGCAUAGGCAAUUUUGGCAGGAACUGAACUAUUUAUUUACUGGAUUCUUGCUUACGACCAGGCAAGCAGAAAGCCCUCCAGCACGCACAGAACUGGGGCUGGCUUCCUCUCUCCGAUGGCUCCUAGGAGGAUCUGCCUGACCCAAAUGAGUGCCAGCUAUAAAAUCUCAGCAAGGCCAAGGGCAGAGGCAGCGCCACUCAGCGAGGGAAGCCAUAAACUAGACAGAAAGACCUCCUUGCUCCACACUCUCCUGGAUCACAUCCUCAGGUGGAGUUUAAAUCACUGUGUCCCAGUUUCCACGUCUGUGGGCAGGUGAUCCGGCACCCGCAAAUUCAGAGCUGCUGGCAUGAAAACCCUAUAAGGUGAUUAGACACACUGGCUUCAGGAGUGUUUGAUACAGACACCACGUUCGCCGCCCACGAAUCGCCCAACCUCAUAUUCUGUUUUGCUCUGAAUGUGCCACAGCGAUCCAUCUUCCAGGUCCGAUGGGACCUCUCUCCAGCCCCCCGCCCCUGACCUGAACCCUCCUCCUGGUUUUACUUGAAAUCACAAACUCAAGACUGCCCCCACUCCCCCCAGGUCCUAGGCUGUGCCCUUUAUGAUUCAGCCCGAGUCCCUGGGCUGCUAGUGAGGAGGGCACCUUGCUUCCCGGCCCUCAGAGACGCCUCUCUCCCAGGCUUCAGGCUUCAUGGCACCUGGUUAUGACCUUUUCUCAAAAGGACCUGCAGAUCUUGGCCUAAAACGGGGAGGAGCCCCUUGGGGAGAUGUAGAGGGAACUUGGGUGGAGAGCAGAGGGAGGAAGGAAGGGUCCCUGGGGAACCAGAUCAGCUGAUUCUGUGCGGGAAAUCCGCAGGGAGCGAGCAGUCACUCAGCUGUCCUAAAAGCCAGCACAGCUCA